rnacentral:rRNA from 1 species
CAGGAUGAACGCUGGCGGCGUGCCUAAUACAUGCAAGUCGAGCGAACAGACAAGGAGCUUGCUCCUUUGACGUUAGCGGCGGACGGGUGAGUAACACGUGGGUAACCUACCUAUAAGACUGGGAUAACUUCGGGAAACCGGAGCUAAUACCGGAUAAUAUUUCGAACCGCAUGGUUCGAUAGUGAAAGAUGGUUUUGCUAUCACUUAUAGAUGGACCCGCGCCGUAUUAGCUAGUUGGUAAGGUAACGGCUUACCAAGGCGACGAUACGUAGCCGACCUGAGAGGGUGAUCGGCCACACUGGAACUGAGACACGGUCCAGACUCCUACGGGAGGCAGCAGUAGGGAAUCUUCCGCAAUGGGCGAAAGCCUGACGGAGCAACGCCGCGUGAGUGAUGAAGGUCUUCGGAUCGUAAAACUCUGUUAUUAGGGAAGAACAUACGUGUAAGUAACUAUGCACGUCUUGACGGUACCUAAUCAGAAAGCCACGGCUAACUACGUGCCAGCAGCCGCGGUAAUACGUAGGUGGCAAGCGUUAUCCGGAAUUAUUGGGCGUAAAGCGCGCGUAGGCGGUUUUUUAAGUCUGAUGUGAAAGCCCACGGCUCAACCGUGGAGGGUCAUUGGAAACUGGAAAACUUGAGUGCAGAAGAGGAAAGUGGAAUUCCAUGUGUAGCGGUGAAAUGCGCAGAGAUAUGGAGGAACACCAGUGGCGAAGGCGACUUUCUGGUCUGUAACUGACGCUGAUGUGCGAAAGCGUGGGGAUCAAACAGGAUUAGAUACCCUGGUAGUCCACGCCGUAAACGAUGAGUGCUAAGUGUUAGGGGGUUUCCGCCCCUUAGUGCUGCAGCUAACGCAUUAAGCACUCCGCCUGGGGAGUACGACCGCAAGGUUGAAACUCAAAGGAAUUGACGGGGACCCGCACAAG